CACAACCAGCCAUCUAAUUGAUA
rnacentral:piRNA from 1 species